UAUUUUGGAAGAAAGAGCACUUGUUUCUUCAAGUUGACAACUUGGUCAAGUGAAAAAGAUUGUAGAAAAAGAUUUUGGCGAACUUGAAACUUGAUUUUGGAGACGUGUAUGAAGCGGAAAAGGUCAGCAGACAGGUGGACGUGAUCCUUAGAAGCUCUACCAGCCGCACUUGACAGCGCUCCAGUUGUUCCGGAGCCUCACUCCAGCGGUACUAUUUUAUGCAUAUACAUUCGGGCUUGGUAGCACCCCGGCCCUUUCUAUGUAUAAGUGUACUAUGUCUAGAGGCUCGUAGACAGAUACGUACAGUCAGUCAG